UCGAACGAGGUCCAUGGAGCUUGCUCCGGAAGACCUAGUGGCGAACGGGUGCGUAACACGUGAGAAAUCUGCCCCGGACUCUGGAAUAACAGUUGGAAACGACUGCUAAUACCGGAUGCCUUCAUUUGGCCGCAUGGUCGUUUGAAGAAAGAUUUAUCGGUUUGGGAGGAUCUCGCGGCCUAUCAGCUUGUUGGAGAGGUAACGGCUCACCAAGGCAUCGACGGGUAGCUGGUCUGAGAGGAUGAUCAGCCACACUGGAACUGAGACACGGUCCAGACUCCUACGGGAGGCAGCAGUGGGGAAUCUUGCACAAUGGGCGAAAGCCUGAUGCAGCGAUGCCGCGUGCGGGAAGAAGGCCCUAGGGUUGUAAACCGCUUUCAGGAGGGAAGAAAAUGACGGUACCUCCAGAAGAAGGUGCGGCCAACUACGUGCCAGCAGCCGCGGUGACACGUAGGCACCAAGCGUUAUCCGGAUUUAUUGGGCGUAAAGAGCUCGUAGGCGGUUUGGUAAGUCGGGUGUGAAAACUCUGGGCUCAACCCAGAGAGGCCACUCGAUACUGCUAUGACUAGAGUACGGUAGGGGAGCGGGGAAUUCCUGGUGUAGCGGUGAAAUGCGCAGAUAUCAGGAGGAACACCAGCGGCGAAGGCGCCGCUCUGGGCCGUAACUGACGCUGGGGAGCGAAAGCAUGGGUAGCAAACAGGAUUAGAUACCCUGGUAGUCCAUGCCGUAAACGUUGGGCACUAGGUGUGGGUCUCAACCAACGAGAUCCGCGCCGUCGCUAACGCAUUAAGUGCCCCGCCUGGGGAGUACGGUCGCAAGACUAAAACUCAAGGAAUUGACGGGGGCCCGCACAAGCAGCGGAGCGUGUGGUUU
rnacentral:rRNA from 1 species